rnacentral:misc_RNA from 1 species
UACGGAGGAUCCAAGCGUUAUCCGGAAACAUUGGGCUUAAAGGGUACGUAGGCGAGUUAAUAAGUCAGUGGUGAAAGUCUGCAGCUCAACUGUAGAAUUGCCAUUGAUACUGUUAACAUUGAGUAAUUAUGAAGUGGUUAGAAUAUGUAGUGUAGCGGUGAAAUGCAUAGAAAUUACUUAGAAUACCGAUUGCGAAGGCAGAUCACUAAUAAUUUACUGACGCUGAGGGACGAAAGCGUAGGUAGCGAACAGG